ACGAACGCUGGCGGCACGCUUAACACAUGCAAGUCGAACGAGAGAAGAGGAGCUUGCUUUUCUGAUCUAGUGGCGGACGGGUGAGUAACACGUGAGCAAUCUGCCUUUCAGAGGGGGAUACCGAUUGGAAACGAUCGUUAAUACCGCAUAACAUAAUUGAACCGCAUGAUUUGAUUAUCAAAGAUUUAUCGCUGAAAGAUGAGCUCGCGUCUGAUUAGCUAGUUGGUAAGGUAACGGCUUACCAAGGCGACGAUCAGUAGCCGGACUGAGAGGUUGAUCGGCCACAUUGGGACUGAGACACGGCCCAGACUCCUACGGGAGGCAGCAGUGGGGAAUAUUGCACAAUGGAGGAAACUCUGAUGCAGCGAUGCCGCGUGAGGGAAGAAGGUUUUAGGAUUGUAAACCUCUGUCUUCAGGGACGAAAAAAGACGGUACCUGAGGAGGAAGCUCCGGCUAACUACGUGCCAGCAGCCGCGGUAAUACGUAGGGAGCGAGCGUUGUCCGGAAUUACUGGGUGUAAAGGGAGCGUAGGCGGGAUCGCAAGUCAGAUGUGAAAACUAUGGGCUUAACCCAUAAACUGCAUUUGAAACUGUGGUUCUUGAGUGAAGUAGAGGUAAGCGGAAUUCCUAGUGUAGCGGUGAAAUGCGUAGAUAUUAGGAGGAACAUCAGUGGCGAAGGCGGCUUACUGGGCUUUAACUGACGCUGAGGCUCGAAAGCGUGGGGAGCAAACAGGAUUAGAUACCCUAGUAGUCCACGCCGUAAACGAUGAUUACUAGGUGUGGGGGGACUGACCCCUUCCGUGCCGCAGCAAACGCAAUAAGUAAUCCACCUGGGGAGUACGACCGCAAGGUUGAAACUCAAAGGAAUUGACGGGGGCCCGCACAAGCAGUGGAGUAUGUGGAUUAAUUCGAAGCAACGCGAAGAACCUUACCAGGUCUUGACAUCGUAUGCAUAGCUCAGAGAUGAGUGAAAUCUCUUCGGAGACAUAUAGACAGGUGGUGCAUGGUUGUCGUCAGCUCGUGUCGUGAGAUGUUGGGUUAAGUCCCGCAACGAGCGCAACCCUUACUGUUAGUUGCUACGCAAGAGCACUCUAGCAGGACUGCCGUUGACAAAACGGAGGAAGGUGGGGAUGACGUCAAAUCAUCAUGCCCCUUAUGACCUGGGCCUCACACGUACUACAAUGGCUGUCAACAGAGGGAAGCAAAGCCGCGAGGUGGAGCAAACCCCUAAAAGCAGUCUUAGUUCGGAUUGUAGGCUGCAACCCGCCUACAUGAAGUCGGAAUUGCUAGUAAUCGCAGAUCAGCAUGCUGCGGUGAAUACGUUCCCGGGCCUUGUACACACCGCCCGUCACGCCAUGGGAGUCGGUAACACCCGAAGCCUGUAGUCUAACCGCAAGGAGGACGCAGUCGAAGGUGGGAUUGAUGACUGGGGUG
rnacentral:rRNA from 1 species